rnacentral:lncRNA from 1 species
UAUAGUUACAAGUGCAUGUACUGAAAAGAUGAGUAUAAGGAGUUGGCAUACACUCACCACAAGCUACAUCAGAGUCACAUCAAUACAACAAUAUACAGUCAUCAUGAAGAAGAGCAGGGUCCGACUAUGGAUGAAAACAAACGAUAAAAGAACGACGUCCAUCCUUGCUAUCCCAGGCUGCCGGCCUCGAACCCAUCCUAGAUCGACGACGACGAAGAAGAAGAAACUCCAAAUAACACAAUCAGCACGAUCACGUCAAAGUAACUCUUUACCUGUACCUGCAACUGGUGUUGUAGUAAUUGGUGAGCCACAGGGACUCAACAAUCUCAUUUCCAAAGGUAUCAAGACUAGCAAAACUUAAAGGGUGAGGUAAGGUUAAGUGGUGAGGCUGCAACAAGCAACUAAGCAUUUAUUUGGGCGGGUAACUUACGAGUACAAGAAUAUUAGGGGGGAUGAUCUACGCACAGCGAACAUGAAAACCGAUGAUCAAAUGAAUGAUCCUGAACACCUACUAACGUCACACAUAACCCCACCAUGUCCUCAGUCGGAGAAGGAGCUCACAAAAGAGACAAUCAUGGUUACGCACUUAGUUGGCAUAUUUUAGUUAAGCUUACUUCAAGUUAUCUAUAACCGGAUGUUAAACAAAGUUUCCAAGUUGCCACAUAACCGCGGGCACGGCUUUCCAAAAGAUUUAACACUGCAGGGAUGCUCCGACUAGUCCAUCACCAACUACCACACGCUGCGACGGAAUAACCUCAAUCAGGGAAAUCCGUGAUCUCCUCGGGUUCCCAUUGGAACACCUCAACCUCGAGAUAACCCAAAGCAUCCUCGGAAUCCCUCGCACAAGACGCUCGAGAAAGGUAAAACAAGUCCAGCAAGGCUGCCCGGCGCGUCGAUGAUCCCGAUAGGAGCCGCGUAUCUCGUUAUCAGGACACGUAGGAUAAGCACAACGUACGGUGGCCUGAUAGAAAUCUCCCGAGUUACCCCGGGUUGGCCCCGCAAACGGCUCUAGUUUGGACCAACACCAGCAGCACUGGCCCCCGUGUAGUAUGUUGUAUUACUCCUCGGGUUCAUGACGCCCUAUGUUUUCAGCAUUAUCAGAAUUAUAAUGCUGGGCAAAUAUAGUACCAAUGUUGGGCCUUGUCAGACGAGCUUUAUCCCAAAACGAGAAUCUAGGGGUCCCCAUAACAACCCAAAGCAUGCUAGGAGCACUCAUUUAUGUAACAUAACACCGGUAGCCGAAACUAAGGUGGCAAAGGUGGAACAAAACACCAGCUAGAAAGGCCCAGCCUUCCACCUUUUACCAAGUAUAUAGGUGCAUUAAAUUAGUUAGCAAUAAAUAGGGUGAUUUAACAAGGAACACAUGUUUGCACAUGGAAGGAACUACACCUGCAACUAGCAACGCCAUCACAUGGUUAAGGAAGCGGUAACAUAGCCAAUCAAUGGUUUGCUAGGUUGUAGAAGGUUGAUGGUUUCAUGGCAUUUUUGACAGUCUCACAUUUAACAUGUGGUAGGCAACGAGACAUAGUGAUAGAAAUGAAACAACUACCAUGACAAUGAUAGUAAUGGUAUCUAGGGAAAUGAUCAUCUUGCGUGAGAUCCUGUUUGGAAGAAGAACGACUCCGUGAAGCAGACGAACCGGCAUAGUCGAACCGGUCCUCACAUUCCGACACGCUCGCGGAACUCUAUCGAGACGAAGCAAACUGGAAACAACAAUCAACACAUAAUUUUCACCACGGCACAUACACGACAUGAUGCAAUUCACAUAUGAUGCAUGAUCACUUUAAAAAUAUGCAAGGCAUGACAUGGCAAUUCACACACUCAAACGCUACACAUUAAGUGAAGCUCAAUAUACAACGAGUUGCAUAUUGACGGUACUUCACAUUUAAUUAUUUAGUUCACUCCCAUUUAUUUACACGACAAUAUUAAAUGUUGUUAAACAUGGCAAGGGUGAAGCACAAAUUAUACUACAUAUCUAGACAUUUUAAAUGAGGUCAGAAACAACCUGUAGCAUCUCCGAAAUGACCCCAUGUGUUAACUUUGUAAUCUGUCCAGAUCUAUCCUAACUUCAUUUUAUGUUUGUUAAACGGAAAAACAAAGUGGUCCACGUGAUUCUACUCGCCGUUCUAGUCCAUUUACAUAUAUGUCUCAUCUCCAACGGAGCUACGGUUAAACAACUACGACCUAAACCAUUAUAGCACGACACGACAUGCAAAACGAGGCAGACAAUUAGGCUAACAGUUGUAAAUAUGCACGAGAGUUGGAAAAAUAUUAAUCUACCCGAAAAUCUACACGUUGUACAUAUACAAUUUGUCGCGAUCCGACGUGUGGAUUAAAAGUAAUAGGUGUUUUAAAAACUAGCAUCUAAUUUGUAAUUCUAAAUGUCUCCGAAAUAGCUAAAUUCGCACAAGGAAAAAAACAAUUAGCAAGCCGAAACCAAGAUUUGGACCGUAUAAAGCAUGAUCGCAGGUUAGCUAAACUACCCAUAGGGCGGGGAAUAGGCAAGCUCACCUCGGGCUGGCGAUGCUGGACACCUGGGCCAACGGGUCUGGCCCACACAAAGGCUGCGACUCGUCCGACGUGGGCGAAGUGGUCGGCCAGCCGCUGGCGGCUGGGCCGAUGCGGGAGGCUGCAUGGUGGGCCGAGGCAGAUCCAGCCCACGGGGGCGAGUAAGGGAGGCGAUGGUCAUUAGUCAACCGUGCUGCUUCGUUCUCGUCCCAACGAAACACAGGUGGCAGCCAUGGCAGGGGAUGGCGGCGAAUGCAGGCUUAGCAAAUGGCAAGGCUAGCAAGGACAGCGGCGCCCCGGCUAGAUCCGGGUGUGACGUGGUCGGGGACACCCAUCUCGGUCGGAUCCAUGGCAAGAUGGUGACCGACGCGUGGGAGACCUCCGAGCUCGCGACAUCGUUCCUACCUGACCAAGGGAGAGAGAGAGACGAGUUGAUAGGAGACACGACAAGAGAGAAGGGAGCAGGGACGAUGGGCACUAGCCUGGAGAUGGACCUAGCCCACGGCGACAACAUGCACCGACGGGGGCGCGGGCGUCAAGCGCGACGGGUCGAGGGGCCCGUCAGUGAGACUCGGGCGCGAGGCCUUCCGCUUCACUGUUGCGGUACUGGGACAGGGACACGAGGCGCGGGGCUGAAAGCGAGGUGGGUGGUCAGGACUGGGUGUCUACUACGCUGCGAUUGGGUCGGCAGGGAAACGACGAAGGGAGCGGCGGCGGGCGAUGGGUCUAGCGUAGGAUGGGACAGAUUUCUAGGGUCCGUUUG